rnacentral:rRNA from 1 species
UAGGGAAUCUUCCGCAAUGGACGCAAGUCUGACGGAGCAACGCCGCGUGAGUGAAGAAGGUUUUCGGAUCGUAAAACUCUGUUAUAAGAGAAGAACAAGUUGUAGAGUAACUGUUGCAGCUUUGACGGUAUCUUAUCAGAAAGCCACGGCUAACUACGUGCCAGCAGCCGCGGUAAUACGUAGGUGGCAAGCGUUGUCCGGAUUUAUUGGGCGUAAAGGGAGCGCAGGUGGUCUCUUAAGUCUGAUGUGAAAGCCCACGGCUCAACCGUGGAGGGUCAUUGGAAACUGGGAAACUUGAGUACAGAAGAGGAAAGUGGAAUUCCAUGUGUAGCGGUGGAAUGCGUAGAUAUAUGGAGGAACACCAGUGGCGAAGGCGACUUUCUGGUCUGUUACUGACACUGAGGCUCGAAAGCGUGGGGAGCAAACAGG